AGGGGUUGAGGAUGUUCCACUGCAACUGGACACUUGCGUAGAUCUGACUGAACCAGAUGUUGAUGAGGAUAUUUUCUUAAUUGACCCUUAAAACAGGCAAGUUGAAGAUCUUCCCAAUGUUACAUAAGAAGAAGGUGAUGAUGAGUUUGCUGAAACCGAUGAUGACGAUUUGGCGAAAGACGACGGUGAUGGUGACGAAGUAACAGAGGAAGAUGAAUUUGAUUGAUUUUCAUGCUUGUUUUUAGUGAAUGUUUGUUAUUAUGUAAUUUGUAAUUGUGUUUGUUUAAAUUUUUUUAAUGAUAAAAAU
rnacentral:lncRNA from 1 species